rnacentral:tRNA from 1 species
AGUAGUGAAGUAAAAUAUUACAUUUAGUUUCGACCUAAAAUUAAGAGAAAUUUCUCCUUACUU